rnacentral:rRNA from 1 species
GUGGGAUUAGCUAGUUGGUGGGGUAAAGGCCCACCAAGGCGACGAUCCCUAGCUGGUCUGAGAGGAUGGUCAGCCACACGGGGACUGAGAUACGGCCCCGACUCGUACGGGAGGCAGCAGCUAAGAAUCUUGCGCAAUGGGCGAAAGCCUGACGCAGCAAUUCCGCGUGGAGGACGAAGGCCUUCGGGUUGUAAACUCCUUUUGUGAGGGAAGAAGAUCUGACGGUACCUCACGAAUAAGACACGGCUAACUACGUGCCAGCAGCCGCGGUAAUACGUAGGUGUCGAGCGUUGUCCGGAUUUAUUGGGCGUAAAGCGCCCGCAGGCGGCCUGGCAAGUCCAGGGUGAAAUCUCCCGGCUCAACCGGGAGGGUGCCCUGGAAACUAUCAGGCUUGAGGCAGGGAGAGGGAUGUGGAAUUCCCGGUGUAGUGGUGAAAUGCGUAGAUAUCGGGAGGAACACCAGUGGCGAAGGCGGCAUCCUGG